UAGCUGGAACACUUUAUUAUCUCCCAAAACUGGGCAAGAUUAGCAGAGUAUCUCUGUGUUAAGUAUUGGAACUCACCUAGGAGCUAGCUCAAACUUGCAUGUGGAUGUAUGUCUGAGGAAAUUAAAACCAAAAAAAAACUUAAAAUCCAUAUAGGCUUUUAGCUAUGCUCUUCUCACCACCUUUGCUACCCUCUCUUCCUAGCUCCUAGCACACAUUCCCCUCAGAGGCUGACACAUAGUCAUUUAUAUCUAUAAAUGGCACUGCUUAUUCUUAACCCUGUCCAGCAGAGGAUAACUUGAGCUGGCACAGCUGCUGACAUGGGUGUUACAAUCCUUGUUGCUAAUUCAAAAAUCUCUACUUUUAGCAGCUACUUUUGCAAAGGUGUACAUCUCCUGCAUGGCAUCCAAAUAGUAAAGAAAUUCAGAGUGAAUAAAAGCUCUUACUGGCUGAGUAUACAAUUUGUAAAGAAUCUGCUAAUCUAAGGCUGAAGUUCCAUGCAGAUCAACCUGUGUUCAUAAGAGAUUUUUGGAUUAUAUUGUCAUUUAGUUUAUUCUUAAUGUAUGUAGUAAAGAAACUGGAAGACUGUACUGCUCCUCCUUACCUUUUCAAAAAAGUAGCCGGGGCUAUUUUUCACAGCUAUCGUACACUAAAGGGCAGGCAAUAAAAACCUUAGUAACGUGACCAGGAAGACGGACUGUCUCACAUUUGCUCACUCGGAGAAAUAUAGGCAGCGAUUCAGCAAGUACAGAACGACCUAGUUUGCUUUAAGACACGUAAACCAGCCUACUGAUUGGAAAUCAAGCACACGCUUAGCUAAGACCAUAUCGUAAUUGAUAAGCAGUUCUGUGAUCAGAGAAGAAGAUCAGCUGCUGCCUUGGGUACAAUACUGAAGAGCAGUCAACACCACAAUCUCAUCUCACGUCUGUGCAACAACCCACACCCUGCCACUCACGAGAAGAGAAAGAAGAAAGGCAAAACAGUGUUCAACACUGAGCCCAACCAAGUUUGUAUUCUAGGAAGACAUGACCUUUCCGAGUGCAAAAGCCUUUUAGUCAUCUUUGGGAACGGGAGAAAAUUCAAAGCCUUGGAACUGUGGCCAACACUGAAUCCUCUCACAAGAAUCAGCACACAGGAAAAUAAAAGUUCUCAUUUUCAGAGAGCUGGACCUUUAUUCUGGGAAGGGCUUCUCUUACAUUAUUAUGAAACAGACACUCACAAAUUAAGUUAAUGAAAGUUAUUCGUCACUUCUGAAAACUGUCAGUUCAGUAACUGCAGUGAAACCAAGAACUACUGAAAUGCUCGAUACAAGUACAAGUGAACCUUUCCUUGACAAUGACAGUAAAAUCAUGUUGGUUCUAUUUUCUUCCCAGCCAAUCAGGUAUCUGCUGUGAGGUUUUUUGGUGUUUUUCUUGUUUGUCCUUUUGUGUUUGUUUGGGUUUUUUUUUAAUUUAUUGUACACUGUUCAGCUGCAGAAUUGUAGAAGCUGGAUUUACUCUGAGAUUACUUAUGUUAAAAAUUCAGUGGCUUCUAAAGAGCCUUCUGUUUGCUUACAUUUCGAUCAAGCUUUGCUUUUAGCUUUAUUCCUGAAGCUGUUAUUAUGCCAGCAGUGCUUGCCACAAUAUCCAUUGCAACCCCUUUUCCCAUUCUGGUGCAUAUAGUGAACUGGUAAAAAAAUGAGAUAUUUUAAUUGAAGAAUUAAAUCAGCUCUUAAAUCAGAAGAAGAAUCUACUCUUCCUGCCUAAACUUGGCCCACAUGCUUCACCCAGAGAAGUGCGCAAGAAAGGGAUUUUCCCUUAAGUAACUCAGCUUCAACAUUUUCUGCUGUUCAGCUGGAGAUUCACUCUGACAGCAAAAUAUCUGCAGAUGUAAACGUGUGCUAACCACAAGGGCAUGGCUACUCAAGAACCUAAGCCUCUGUAACCUUAGCCCUGACAAUGAAAACUCAGUUUCAUGGAUCAAUAAUUGGAUGAUAAUUUGCUACUGUAGCAAACAGGCUAUUUUAAGUUUUGCAGUAUAGCUACUGCAAGUACAGACAGCUCUUAAAUGAAAGUCUUUUCUUUCUCACUUGACAACCAAAACAGCUCAGUUGCUUUAAAGUUUAUUGAAGUUUUUUUUUUUACCAAUCAACUCAUAAAAUAUAUUAUCUGUCAACUUCACUUCAUGUUGACACCAUUAAUUAUUUUAG